GUGCUGGUUGCGGCAGCACAGAUACUGAAAGUGGAACAACGGAAGGUCAGCACAGCGCCUGUGCUAGGACGGCAUGCAAAUUUGUGAAGCAUUCCAUAUUUUU